rnacentral:rRNA from 1 species
GAUGAACGCUGGCGGCGUGCAUAACACAUUCAAGUCGAACGAAGCACUUUCGACGGAGACUUCGGUCAAAGUUGGAUUUGACUUAGUGGCGGACGGGUGAGUAACGCGUGGGUAACCUGCCGUAUACAGGGGGACAACAGUUGGAAACGACUGCUAAUACCGCAUAAGCGCACAGGACCGCAUGGUCCGGUGUGAAAAACUCCGGUGGUAUACGAUGGACCCGCGUCUGAUUAGAUAGUUGGUGAGGUAACGGCUCACCAAGUCUGCGAUCAGUAGCCGGUCUGAGAGGAUGAACGGCCACAUUGGGACUGAGAUACGGCCCAGACUCCUACGGGAGGCAGCAGUGGGGAAUAUUGGGCAAUGGGGGAAACCCUGACCCAGCAACGCCGCGUGAAGGAAGAAGGCCUUCGGGUUGUAAACUUCUUUUAGCAGGGACGAAGAACGUGACGGUACCUGCAGAAAAAGCAACGGCUAACUACGUG